AAUAUUGAAAUGAACUUCCAUAAAAAUUGGCUCGUUCACAUAGUAUUUCGUUAAAAAUCGCUGUUUAAACAUUUGUUUAACCGGAAUGAUUUUCGAGCUCUUUUUAUUUCGGACAAAGAAUUGAACUUUCACUGUUUCAGAAAUUCUGACAUAUAAUGAGAUAAAUUCGAGUUAAUAAUUAUUUAAUACGUAAAUUUUAACAAAAUAGUUUUCUUGAUUGUAUUUUGACGACACAGUAGCAUAUGAUUAUCAUUUGAUACACUGUAGUAUGUAUUGUAAUAUUAAAUUUUAAAUUGAAUAAACUGCGAAUUACUUUUUUAUUUUUAAUUGUUUUUAAGUAACACAGUAAACUAAAUAUACUGGUAGCCCUUUUGUUACACUAAAGCAGGAACAUGCUGCUUUGAUUAAUUGACACCAUUUGUUGUUCAAGCAAAUGAAUAUGGCUAGUACUCAUAAAUAAUUGACACCAGACAGUCACAGUUAUUCCUUAAAUGAUACAAAUAGAGAUCUGCAACUGCAAUAAGCAGAACUUAUUUUUUUUACGAUGAUAAUUUCAUGGAUCAUCAGGCGAAGCCAUUGUUGAUCAAUGAUAUAAAUGCUCUAUUACCCAAAAAGUGCUAAUUUAAAGUCCACUGACUUCUUGCAUUCAUCUGUCAGGUUUAUAACUGUGUUCAGGUUGUAAAACUCAUGUGUAAACAAGUCAAUAAUUAUAAGAAUAUCUGUAUGUCCCAAAAAUUGUGCAUUUUGCCUGAAAAAGAGGGCAUCUCAAAACAAAGUGUACAAAAACAUAACAGUAAUUGUGGUAAUAAGAUUUUUAAAUCCUUAUGCUUACAUGUACUUAAACGGUUUACAUGUAAUAUCAGACUUCCCGAAACUCCGUCGGACCUACGGACAUGUCCGACACAAACAGUCAAGGGCCGAUCGAAAUUCUUAACUCGUCGGCCCAAAAUGUCCGACACAAAUAUUUUCCGGUUUUCCCAAGAAAUUAAAAGUAUUUGUAGAACAUCGGCGAAAUACGGCGGAAUACGCACUUGGCCGAUUUUGUGAAAUACGAGAUUUUGUGAAAUCGAAUGUAUUCGUCUGUCAGUUAACCCGCUGUUGAUUGGUCCAAAGUCGUAUUGUCAAAAAUCGGAAAUAAUCUGUCCGUGCUCGGUGAAAAAUGUUCUAGAAAUACAUAUGGUUCCCUGCUUAUUGUCGACGAGUAAAUAAAUGCAUGCUUCAAGCCGGGAUCGGUACAUUUUACCAUCAUUCGAUCGACUUUUAGUUUAAACAAAAGUGAAAGUUAAACAAAGCAACAGCUUGCAGUUAUCAACGAUAUCGAGGAUCACGCACGGAGUUUAACGGGGAUUUAUAACCAGAGCAAUUGCCCCCAAGCAGCCCGAGCCUGGACACUCGCAGAACGAUGAAGAAGACUGGGAACAAGAUGAAAGUGAUGAUGACAUUAAGCUUUUAAAUAGAUACGAUACAGAUAGUGAUUUUAUUAGUGACUUUAAUAAUGAGGAAGUGGAUGUUAACAAACUUUGUCUUUGUUACUUUACUUUGUUACUGAAAGUAAUAUGAUUAACAAUAAAAUGAUAAAGCAA